ensembl:lncRNA
GCUUGGAGCUGUUCUAUUAUGACAUAUUAAGGAAGAUUAUAGCAGAGGGAGUCGUUUUUAAAAUAGAAGAAGUUUAACCAAAUUUAUAUCUCAAAAUUAAGAAGCACCAGGACUCAGAGAGUCGUGAACUUCGCACAUUAUGGAAAAGCUGUGAUUUCUAAAUGUGGCUCUCAGGAAAUCCAACCAAUCCAUCCUAAAGGAAAUCACUCCUGAGUGUUCAUAGGAAGGACUGAUGUUGAAGCUGAAACUCCAAUACUUCGGUCACCUGAUGAGAAUAGCUGACUCAUUUGAAAAGACUCUGAUACUGGGAAAGAUUGAAGACGGGAGAAGGGAACAACAGAGGAUGAGAUGGUUGGAUGGCAUCAUCAACUCAAUAGACAUGAGUUUGGGUAAACUCCAGGAGUUGGUGAUGGACAGGGAGGCCUGGCAUGCUGCAGUCCAUGGGGUCACGAAGAGUCGGACACUACUGAGAGACUGAACUGAACUGAACUGAACUUAUGGUAUUGUAUUUCAAAGAGUUAAACCCAAAUAUAUAUGUAGGUGCAAAUAGUAACAUUUCAUUACUUCAUUAUGACAGUUCAUGUAGAGAAAUGGAGAACAUGCAAUCCUUUUGAUCUACUUUAUGGAAAUGUUGACGAGUCCCAUAUUGGUUAGAUGUGAGCUCACUUGGUUCUUAUGUUAAACUCAAAGAAUCUCAAAUCUACUUGUUAGUCUGUUUCACUGUUUCAAG